rnacentral:rRNA from 1 species
GAUGAACGCUGGCGGCGUGCCUAAUACAUGCAAGUCGAGCGAACGGACGAGAAGCUUGCUUUUCUGAUGUUAGCGGCGGACGGGUGAGUAACACGUGGAUAGCCUACCUAUAAGACUGGGAUAACUUCGGGAAACCGGAGCUAAUACCGGAUAAUAUUUUGAACCGCAUGGUUCAAAAGUGAAAGACGGUCUUGCUGUCACUUAUAGAUGGAUCCGCGCUGCAUUAGCUAGUUGGUAAGGUAACGGCUUACCAAGGCAACGAUGCAUAGCCGACCUGAGAGGGUGAUCGGCCACACUGGAACUGAGACACGGUCCAGACUCCUACGGGAGGCAGCAGUAGGGAAUCUUCCGCAAUGGGCGAAAGCCUGACGGAGCAACGCCGCGUGAGUGAUGAAGGUCUUCGGAUCGUAAAACUCUGUUGUUAGGGAAGAACAUAUGUGUAAGUAACUGUGCACAUCUUGACGGUACCUAAUCAGAAAGCCACGGCUAACUACGUG